rnacentral:rRNA from 1 species
UACAGAGGGGGCAAGCGUUGUUCGGAAUUACUGGGCGUAAAGGGCGCGUAAGCGGCCUUCUAAGUCGAACGUGAAAUCCCCGGGCUCAACCCGGGAACUGCGUCCGAUACUGGAAGGCUUGAAUCCGGGAGAGGGAUGCGGAAUUCCAGGUGUAGCGGUGAAAUGCGUAGAUAUCUGGAGGAACACCGGUGGCGAAGGCGGCAUCCUGGACCGGCAUUGACGCUGAGGCGCGAAAGCCAGGGGAGCAAAGCGGG